GAUGAUUUGUUGUUGACUUGCAUACAAAAGAAGAGAAGUUUAUUUACUAUGUGUAGUUCUUGUUUGUGUGAACUCUUAAUCAUUUUCUAUUUAUUUCAGGUUCUUCAUAACAUUACUGUUGCAGAAUACUUUCACUGGAAUAUGCUACGAAACCUUGCUGGCAUCUAUUAUGAACAAAGUCAACUUGACAUGGCAAUUUUGCAUUACAAGCAAGCUAUCAACUGUGAUUCUACCUUUAUUGAAGCUUACAAUAAUCUGGGGAAUGCUCUCAAAGACGCUGGACAUGCUCUCAAAGACGCUGGACAUUAUAGGGUGACUUUUUAAUUUGGAUAUU